rnacentral:rRNA from 1 species
CCUACGGGAGGCAGCAGUGAGGAAUAUUGGUCAAUGGGCGCGAGCCUGAACCAGCCAAGUAGCGUGAAGGAUGACUGCCCUACGGGUUGUAAACUUCUUUUAUAAAGGAAUAAAGGUAUGCACGUGUGCCUUUUUGUAUGUACUUUAUGAAUAAGGAUCGGCUAACUCCGUGCCAGCAGCCGCGGUAAUACGGAGGAUCCGAGCGUUAUCCGGAUUUAUUGGGUUUAAAGGGAGCGUAGAUGGUUUGUUAAGUCAGUGGUGAAAGUUUGUGGCUCAACCGUAAAAUUGCAAUUGAUACUGGAAGUCUUGAGUAUAGUUGAGGUAGGCGGAAUGCGUGGUGUAGCGGUGAAAUGCUUAGAUAUCACGAAGAACUCCGAUUGCGAAGGCAGCUUACUAAGCUGCAACUGACAUUGAUGCUCGAAAGUGUGGGUAUCAAACAGGAUUAGAUACCCGAGUAGUC